rnacentral:lncRNA from 1 species
GGUGGACAAAUUAUUUCUCUUUUAUUUCUCCAGUAACAGAGUUAAAAUGGCAGGAGGUUUUUCAGAGUUAAUAUCGUUGUAUUUACGCAGCUUCAUUCUUUUCCAUUUCUUAAGGAAACAAAAAACAACCACCUCAAACUCGAUUAAAAAAGAAAGAAAGAAAGAAAAAAAAAGACACAGCAUAACCAGGCCGUGACCCUGAACAACCCACCUACGCCUGCUCUCUGGAGUUUUGUUUUUCGUGGUCUGUGUCCUGACAGGGGCUGAAAGCUGGACUGUUAAUAUCACAGCCACGUGCCUCCCCUACCUUGGGACCCCCACACUGAGAGGGGGUGGGCAAUCUGGGGGAUGUAGAAGAAAAUCUUGGUGUAGUAAGAUCGAUAGCACAUGUUGGGGUUGAGCUCAGGGUCUGUCCGUGGUUGGUGUGGCCUCAGGAGAGUCACUUCCUUUUCGAAUCUCAGUUUCCCCACCUGAAAAGUGGGGGAUGGGCUCAACCCCUGUUUUUCUAAUUGUGCUUUUCGGAGCUCCAGGGUUUCUUGGGUGCAGCAGGGGCUGUUACCAAGUGCCUGGAGUUCCUAUGCCUGUGUCUCAGCAUGGAAGCUAUUCCUGUUCCCAUUCCAUAUGCUGGGCUUCUGUUACGAUGAUUUCAACAGUUCUACCAACACAUCCGACGACCACUGGCUACUCCAGUGCUAUCCAUCCUGGUGAGUCCACAUGUUGGUCCCCACCCAAACUCAUGUCUCAGUUUAUCACCCAGAAGGGCAAGACCAACAAAACGGAUGUGUACGGCUUGUUAGCUGGGAUGGAGCUGCCCACACAUCACUGUGCAGAUGGG